AUGUAAUGUAAUUCCUACAACAUUAAUGCACUAUAUCCCAUUAUAACUCCAUAGUUAAGCAUGCUUGGGCUAGUAGUAUCAGGAUGGGUGACCUUCUAGGAAGUCCUAGCGUUUUACAUG
rnacentral:rRNA from 1 species